rnacentral:rRNA from 1 species
ACCGACGAGCUAAUACCGGAUAAUAUAUUGAACCGCAUGGUUCAAUAGUGAAAGACGGUUUUGCUGUCACUUAUAGAUGGAUCCGCGCCGCAUUAGCUAGUUGGUAAGGUAACGGCUUACCAAGGCAACGAUGCGUAGCCGACCUGAGAGGGUGAUCGGCCACACUGGAACUGAGACACGGUCCAG